UACGUAGGGUGCGAGCGUUGUCCGGAAUUAUUGGGCGUAAAGAGCUCGUAGGCGGUGUGUCGCGUCGGUCGUGAAAACUUGGGGCUUAACCCUGAGCUUGCGGUCGAUACGGGCAUCACUGGAGUUCGGCAGGGGAGACUGGAAUUCCUGGUGUAGCGGUGAAAUGCGCAGAUAUCAGGAGGAACACCGAUGGCGAAGGCAGGUCUCUGGGCCGAUACUGACGCUGAGGAGCGAAAGCGUGGGGAGCGAACAGG
rnacentral:rRNA from 1 species